rnacentral:piRNA from 1 species
UCCCGUCUUGGUGCUUGUUGGCUCUGCUGU